UUUUUUUUUUUUUUUUUUUUUUUUUUUUUUUUUAAAUCUCAUCAUUCCGUCCUUUUUUCUAA
rnacentral:ribozyme from 1 species